rnacentral:rRNA from 1 species
AUUCGAUUAGAGUUUGAUUAUGGCUCAGAACGAACGCUGGCGGCGNNNUUUUAAGCAUGCAAGUCGGACGGCAAGGCGGGUAGCAAUACCUGCCCUAGAGUGGCGAACGGGUGAGUAACACGUAGGUGAUCUACCUCUGGGUGGGGGAUAGCCCGUGGAAACACGGGGUAAUACCGCAUGAGGCCUUGUGGGUAAAGCCAUGAGGUGAAAGGUGCAAUUGCACCGUCUGGGGAUGAGCCUGCGGUCCAUUAGGUAGUUGGCGGGGUAACGGCCCACCAAGCCGACGAUGGAUAGCCGGCCUGAGAGGGUGUACGGCCACACUGGAACUGAGACACGGUCCAGACUCCUACGGGAGGCAGCAGCUAAGAAUCUUCCGCAAUGGGGGAAACCCUGACGGAGCGACGCCGCGUGGAUGAUGAAGGCCGUAAGGUUGUAAAAUCCUUUUGUCGGUGAAGAAUAAGGGGAGGAGUGGAAAGCCUUCCUGAUGACGUUAGCCGACGAAUAAGCCCCGGCUAAUUACGUGCCAGCAGCCGCGGUAAUACGUAUGGGGCAAGCGUUGUUCGGAUUUAUUGGGCGUAAAGGGCGUGUAGGCGGCUCAUCAAGUCUGG